AUCACCGUGUGAUAUCCUUAAGAGUAUACUGUCAUGAGAACGCAUACAGCAACGUUCCUAGUCUGCAUGCUCUGUUUUGCUGUUUACUGCUGCGAUGCUGGUGCUUUCAUGAGUAACAGACCUAGCGUGUGCGAAAACUAUAGCUGCGGUGAUCAUGGCCAAUGCCCAGAAGGCUGUGAGUGCAACGGGCAGUUGACGCGUGAUGGACGAAAAUGUUCGACAAAAUAUUGACAAACUGAUGUGACGGAAUGAUUGUUAAAUAAACAGUUCAAAUGC